rnacentral:rRNA from 1 species
AGAGUUUGAUCAUGGCUCAGAUUGAACGCUGGCGGCAUGCCUUACACAUGCAAGUCGAACGGUAACGCGGGGCAACCUGGCGACGAGUGGCGAACGGGUGAGUAAUAUAUCGGAACGUGCCCAGUCGUGGGGGAUAACUGCUCGAAAGAGCAGCUAAUACCGCAUACGACCUGAGGGUGAAAGCGGGGGAUCUUCGGACCUCGCGCGAUUGGAGCGGCCGAUAUCAGAUUAGGUAGUUGGUGGGGUAAAGGCCUACCAAGCCGACGAUCUGUAGCUGGUCUGAGAGGACGACCAGCCACACUGGGACUGAGACACGGCCCAGACUCCUACGGGAGGCAGCAGUGGGGAAUUUUGGACAAUGGGGGCAACCCUGAUCCAGCCAAGCCGCGUGCGGGAAGAAGGCCUUCGGGUUGUAAACCGCUUUUGUCAGGGAAGAAAUCCUUUGGGCUAAUAACUCGGAGGGAGGACGUACCUGAAGAAUAAGCACCG